AAGAAGGGGCGGAACCAAAGACAAACUUUGGCCAAAGGCAGCUGCUGAUUACUGAGAUGGAAGGAGACCAAAGGAGGGGCAUCCUGGGAGUGAGGGGGACCAAGAAUUUAAUUUAAAAUAUAAUUUUGAGGCUUUGUGCCUGCUGGCUCACAGACAAGUUCUGCUAGGCUCCUGCCAUUGUCCCUCAACUUGAAGAUGCAACUCAAAGUCCAUGUGCAACAUGACCCCAACUCCUGUCUCCAGAAAAGUACAAACAGGAAGACAACCUAAUAUUGGAUCCUGUAUGUUCAGUGAGGUUCUAGAGCAUUCUACAUGGGGCAUAGCAUGCUGACUCCUGCCUUGGCUUCCUGACCAUUGCAAUGUGGCCUUUGCUUUGAGGAGAAACAAGGCUCCAGGGGACCUCAGAUCUCAAAUUCUUGCUAUGACAGCGAGGUCCCAUUAAUGAGGACUAAUUGUUGGAGGACGAAGCUGAGUUACUGAGAAGUCAGACCUGAAAAAUCUGCCGCACUACUCUGUCAUGUUGAAACCAUCUUAUAAUUCAAUCCAGCUCGGAGAGCUCAUCCAUUCAUCUUGGCAUUCAGCAGACCCCGGCUUUCAGGAAUAGCUGUGCACAAUCUAAAAU
rnacentral:lncRNA from 1 species